rnacentral:rRNA from 1 species
AUUGAACGCUGGCGGCCUGCCUAACACAUGCAAGUCGCGCGAAGCGGGGACGGGUGAGUAACACGUGGAUAACCUCCUAUAAGACUGGGAUAAAUUCGUGAAACCGGAGCUAAACCGGCUACUUAUAGAUGGAUCUGCUCUGCAGUAGCUAGUUGGUAAGGUAACGGCUUACCAAGGCAACGAUGCAUAGCCGACCUGAGAGGUGGAUCAGCCACACUGGAAAGGAGACACGGUCCAGACUCAUACGGGAGGCAGCAGUAGGGAAUAUUCCGCAAUGGGCGAAAGCCUGAUGGAGCAAUGCCGCGUGAGUGAUGAAGGUCUUCGGGUCGUAAAGCACUGUUAUUGGGGAAGCGGUACCUACUCAGAAAGCCACGGCUAACUACGUGCCAGCAGCCGCGGUAAUAC